rnacentral:pre_miRNA from 1 species
AACACCUGGAGAUCUUGUUAAAAUGCAGAUUCAGAUUCAGUAGGUUUGGGGUGGGGCCUGAGAUUCUACAUUUCUAGCAACUCUCAGGUGAUGCUGA